rnacentral:rRNA from 1 species
GAUGAACGCUGGCGGCGUGCCUAAUACAUGCAAGUCGAGCGAACAGACGAGGAGCUUGCUCCUCUGACGUUAGCGGCGGACGGGUGAGUAACACGUGGAUAACCUACCUAUAAGACUGGGAUAACUUCGGGAAACCGGAGCUAAUACCGGAUAAUAUAUUGAACCGCAUGGUUCAAUAGUGAAAGACGGUUUUGAUGGCACUUAUAGAUGGAUCCGCGCCGCAUUAGCUAGUUGGUAAGGUAACGGCUUACCAAGGCAACGAUGCGUAGCCGACCUGAGAGGGUGAUCGGCCACACUGGAACUGAGACACGGUCCAGACUCCUACGGGAGGCAGCAGUAGGGAAUCUUCCGCAAUGGGCGAAAGCCUGACGGAGCAACGCCGCGUGAGUGAUGAAGGUCUUCGGAUCGUAAAACUCUGUUAUUAGGGAAGAACAAAUGUGUAAGUAACUAUGCACGUCUUGACGGUACCUAAUCAGAAAGCCACGGCUUACUACGUG